rnacentral:rRNA from 2 species
UACGUAGGGGGCAAGCGUUGUCCGGAAUCAUUGGGCGUAAAGCGCGUGUAGGCGGUCCGAUCAGUCGGCUGUGAAAGUCCAGGGCUCAACCCUGGGAUGCCGGUCGAUACUGUCGGGCUAGAGUCCGGAAGAGGCGAGUGGAAUUCCCGGUGUAGCGGUGAAAUGCGCAGAUAUCGGGAGGAACACCAAUGGCGAAGGCAGCUCGCUGGGACGGUACUGACGCUGAGACGCGAAAGCGUGGGGAGCAAACAGG